UAAUAAAUAUGCGUCUAACGGAUGCCUAGGUGCAACACACCGAAGAAGGACGUGGAGGGCUGCGAUAAGCGCCGGGGAGCUGCCGUCAAGCUUUGAUCCGGCGAUUUCCGAAUGGAGAAAUCCGCUUGUGCUCCGCACAAGAAUUUUCAAAUAUAAAUUUUCAAUUUUCAUUGAAAAUAAUGUAAACAAGGACUAAAGUCGAGAAAUUGUAAAGCGAAGUUUUGCUUCGCAAAAUUGGAAAUUCCUGCGCGAGGCAUAAGCACUUUUGUGCGAAUACAUAAGCGCAAGAGAGGGUACCGUCUGAACUGAAACAUCUAAGUAAGGCGAGGAAAAGAAAAUAAGUAAUGAUUCCCCAAGUAGUGGCGAGCGAAAGGGGAAAAGCCUAAACCCUUCGAUUCGAUUUUGCUCCGCAAAAUCUCACUCAGGGCUAUAGCCCGGUAAGAUUAAAGGGGUCAUUGACCCCGAGCGAGGCAAAGCCGAGUCGAGGGGGGUUGCGGGACUCAAAUGUGAGACUGUUGCGAAUAGCAGAAUAACCUGGAAUGGUUGGCCAUAGAGAGUGAAAGCCUCGUAUGCGAAAUUCUAAAUAGCUCUAUGAGUAUCCCAAGUAUUGCGGGACACGCGAAAUCCUGUAAGAAUCCGGCUCGACCAUGAGCCAAGGCUAAAUAUGUGUUGCGACCGAUAGUGAACUAGUACCGUGAGGGAAAGGUGAAAGAGUACCCCGGAAGGGGAAUGAAAAGUACCUGAAAUUAGACGCUAACAAGCAGUGGGAGCCCCUCACCUUUGCUGAAGAUUGUGGUUUGUGAUUCGAACCAAAGGUAGAUAAUAUGUCGGCAAAUAGCCUUUGUAGUUUCGAGUAUCCAAAUCAAUUCGGUAGCAAAGGUGAGGGGUGACCGCGUGCCUAUUGAAGAAUGAACCGGUGAGUUUACGUUUAAGUGCGAGUCUAAGCCCGCCCUUUUUGGACAGUAGAUUGACAAGUAGAGUUUCUCGACUAAAGUAUCUGAGAAUUUACAGUUCAGUUUAGUGGCAAAAAGAGCGGGUGUAGGCGCAGGGAAACCAAGUCUUAAGAGGGCGUUUAGCGCUGAACGUAAGACCCGAAACCGCGUGAGCUAACCAUGACCAGGAUGAAGUCCCGCUAACGCGGGAUGGAGGUCCGAACCCAUGUCAGUUGCAAGUGGCUGGGAUGAGUUGUGGUUAGGGGUGAUAUGCCAAUCGAACGCGGAGAUAGCUGGUUCUCCCCGAAAUAUAUUUAGGUAUAGCCUUAUCGUCCCGCCCGCCUUUGGCGAGGCGGGGCCCCCGGAGGGGUAGAGCUCUGGAUGGUUUGUGCAGAGCAAUCCGUGCAAACCAAUCAAACUACGAAUACUCUUGGGGAUGAAGGUAAGAGUCAGUCCGACCCGGAUAAGCGGGCCAGGGCUAAAGGGAAACAACCCAGAUCCAAAGCUAAGGUCCCUAAGUGUGUCUUAAGUGUUAAAGGUAGUGUCCGCGCUUAGACAGCAAGGAGGUUGGCUUAGAGGCAGCCAUCCUUUAAAGAAAGCGUAACAGCUCACUUGUCGAUUCCCGUCCAUUGGACGGGAGGGUGCGGGUGCGCCGACAAUGUAACGGGGCUAAAAGAUACCACCGAAGCUUGGGGAUCGCAUGCAUGGCAUGCGAUUACGAAUGGAUGCGAAUGCCUGACGGUGAUUUAAGAUUAUUCGCAAAAAUUCGCAUAACAAUGAGUAGUUACGAAAGUAAUUCUCAUCAUGCGAAUGAAAACGAAUAUUUUAGAUCUGUUAGGACCAUCUGCAUAAAUUAGUAGUCGCCUGCCGUGCAGGCGAUCGGUAGGGGAGCGUUUGCAUCAGCUGUGAAGCCCUUCCGAGAGGUCAGGGUGGAGCGAUGCGAAGUGAGAAUGCCGGUAUGAGUAGCGAAAGUCCCGUGAGAAUCGGGACCGCCGUAUGUCCAAGGUUUCCUACGCAACGUUCGUCGACGUAGGGUUAGUCGGUCCUAAGGCGAGGCCAGAAGGCGUAGUCGAUGGACAAGCCGUU
rnacentral:rRNA from 1 species